CAAAAGUGGAGAGGGAUCCAAAUAUGUUGCGCUAUCCUUAUAUUGUUCGACCUCUCUGCGGCUUUCGAUGUCAUAGACCACAAUAUCUUAGAUGAUGACAUCAUUUUGGCUAUACUAUUUUCAUGGAUGUACUGUUGUACUCCUUCAAGUGAAAGGUGAAGAUAAAGAACAGUGAUCAAUCUCAUCGCUCAUAUAAGGAAUACAAAAUAAAGAGUGACAAGGAGGAAUAAGCAUCCCCUGUCGACCAGUCAAACGACCCGUGAGCCCUAUAUGUUGAUCAGGACCUAAUUUGGACAAUGCCAACGCUGACCUACUCGUGGAGGGAAAAAUAUACCAUAAUGUGUGUGUGUGUGUGUGUGUGUGUGUGUGUGUGUGUGUGUGUGUGUGUGUGUGUGUGUAUUCCCUAUUGUUUUAUGAAUUAUAAACCUUUGCUGUGUUUUUGUUUUCAUUUCUUGAUAUAGACACUGUAAUGUGCAAAUUAUCUUACAACUUGACAUAAAAACCUAAACUUACAUCUACAUACCAAAAAAUUAACUUUCUAAAUUACAAUCAUAAAACAAAUCCUGAUUUAUUCGGUGACAGUUUCUAUUGUCUCUUGAUUACGACAUAAGUCAAUUGCCAUCAUUGAUUUGUUUUCCGAAAAAACUUGUUCAACAUCCUUGUUAUAAGAAGUACAUCCGAAACAAGUCUAAAUCAAAACAUUUAAACUGAAUUAUUUGAUGACAAUUUCACUUGUCUCUUAAUUACGACAUAAUCAUUAGCGAUCCUUGAUUUGCUUUCCAGAAUAAUUGAUUCUAAUCUCUCGCCACCCCUCUUGGCGUUAAAUACCUUCCUGGUACGUGUUACAAAUUUGCUCGUGUCACAAAUGUGGUUAUAAUAUCCCCCACUAUCCUAAUUGCAUGCCCUAUACUCGGACUCAUAAAACAUUAAAUAUUUAAUGAUAUUUGUAAAAUGUCUUAAAAGUUUCUUAUAUCAACACCUCAUUGACAAUUUCUAUAAUAAAUAUUACUUGUGCAAACCUAUCGAUAGCAAAUAUAAGAAAUAUUUAACUAAAUUAAGAAUUUCAUCUCAUAAUCUAAAUAUUGAAAAAGAAAGACAAUAUGGCAUUGCAAAAUACAAUAGGUUUUGUGAAAAAUGUAGCUUGUCUGUUGUAGAAGACGAAUUCCAUUUCAUUCUUGCAUUCUUCAAUGUCCAUUCUAUAAUGAACUGAAAUCAAAAUAUAUAAAAAGAUAUUAUUAUAAAAGGCCAAAUACUUUCAAACUGGUUCAAUUACUAAGUGUUCAAAAUGUUAAAGAAUUGACCAAUUUAGGUAAAUACUUGUAUUUAGCAUGUUUAAAAAGAGAUGCUUAAUUUAACUUUUGUUCUAUUUAUGUAUACUCUCCUGUGUGAUGUCUGUAUAUACCAUAUUUAUGUUAUUCUGUUUCUGAUGAGCCGUUUGGCAUCGAUAAUAAAGAACUUGAAAAUC